rnacentral:rRNA from 1 species
ACACGACUACAUUAGACUACCCGUGUAGUCCAGGGUGUAAACGCUGCGGGCUUGGUGUUGGGGGUCCUUUGAGGGCGCCCAGUGCCGGAGAGAAGUUGUUAAGCCUGCUGCUUGGGGAGUACGUCCGCAAGGAUGAAACUUAAAGGAAGUUGGCGGGGGAGCACCGCAACGGGAGGAGCGUGCGGUUCAAUUGGAUUCAACGCCGGACAACUCACCAGGAGCGACGGUUACAUGAAGGCCAGGCUGAUGACCUUGCCUGAUUUUCCG